UAUCCAUGAUGAGAGCAUGCAUUUAAAAGGUCUUUGAGUCGUUCCCAACAAUGAUAAAAUGUUUCCACAUCCUUUUGGUAAAAAUUCAUGAUUUGUCUUUCUAAGGCA